CUCAUCUUCACGUUUUCUGCAUCUAUUGAAGUGCGCCACUGAGAUCGUGGAGUUCUUCCCUGUUUGUCCAUAUGAUGAACAACACUGAUUUUCUGAUGUUGAACAAUCCCUGGAAUAAACUCUGUUUGGUUUCCAUGGAUUUCUGUUUCCCUUUAGAUUUUGUUAGUAAUUUAUUUUGGAUUUUUGCAUCCAAGUUCAUAAUUGUAACUGGACAAAUAAAGGCAGAUUUUAAAAGGACAAGUUGGGAGGCUAAGGCGGAAGGAUCACUUGAGCCUGGGAGAUUGAAGCUGCAGCUAGCUUCGAUUGUUCCACUGUACUCCAGCCUGGUGACAGCAGGACCUGCCUCUAAAAUAAUAAUACUUAAAAGGACGAGUUUACCUACAGUCUCACCAAGCAAUGAAAGAGCUUAUCUUCUUCCUGUUUCCUUUACGGAUCUUGCUCAUGUAUUUUAUCUUAGUUACUUUAGCAUAAAUGCUAAAUCAAAUUCUUUUUCACUAGACAUCAUAAUAGCUCUAGGCAUACCACAUAAUACCCAAGCACAUUUUAAUCAUUAAAAUUGUUUCCUUUUUUUGUGGCUACUGUAACCACUUCAGCGAACCAUUUAGUGUGUAGUGGGUUUAAAUUUUUUCUCCUUCCUGGGAUAAAUUUCCCAGGAGAGGGAUAAUUGGGUCAAAAGUUACGAACAUAUUUAUGGGUUCUUUUCCACAAGAGAUCGAUCAGUUUGCAAGUGCCAUCUGCACUGUGGGGGAACCAAUCUUCAACUUGCCUGCAUUUGGUAUUAGUAUUUCAUUAACCUUUCAUUGAUCUAAUUACGGCUCUUUGACACAAUUUUCAUCAGUGAUGGACUAAGUGUGAUCCGGCCUGACCCGCCUCCGGCCGGCGUGAGAAGGGGCAUGUGUCGGGCUACCCUCGGGCUUCCCCUGCCGCCCAUUGUGAUCCAGCCCGCUAGGCGCUCCCUGCCGCCCAUUGUGACGCCUGCCAGCCGCAGGCUGGGUCCCCGAGGCGGGCGGCAUUUAGGCUCGGUCUCCACAGCCAUGGCCGCGACGCAGGAGCUGCUGCUGCAGUUGCAGAAGGAUAACCGAGAUGGUCGCCAGCGGAAGCAGGAGCUAGAGAAGCUGAUGCGCGGGCUCGAGGCCGAGAGCGAGAGCCUGCCUCAACCAGCGCCUGCAGGACCUGAGCGAGCGGGAGCGGAGGCUGCUGCGGAGGCGAAGCCAGGAAGCGCUGCUUCUGCAAGGGGAGGUGCGCGAGGCGGCGCGGGAGCGCGCGCAGCGGGUGCGCAGAAGACUGGAGGAGGCGGAGCGCCACAAGGAGGACUUGAAGCCCGGUAAACCCCGUCCUUACGAGCCCCGCCCCUAGCUCUUCUACUACGGAGGGGAACUGCAGAGCCAGAAGAGCACGGAGCAGCAACUCGCAGCCCAAUUGGUGACGCUGCAGAAUGAACUGGAGCUGGCGGAGACCAAAUGCGCCUUGCAGGAGGAGAAGCUGCAGCAGGACGCGCUGCAGACAGCGGAGGCCUGGGCCAUAUUCCAGGAGCAGACCGUAGUCCUGCAGGUGUGACGGGCAGCUUCGCAGAGUGCAGUACAGCACCGAGUCGCUCAUGGAGGAGAUGGCCAGGGCGGACCGAGAGACGCGGCUGUUCGGCGGUCCUCGCGCGCUGGCCAUCAGGCGCUGCUGACGCUGCCGCUCCUCUUCCUGGGGCUGUCGCUGCUCUGGACGGUGCUGUUGGACCCCGGCGCCGUCUCCGCGUGGCUCUGGAGCCUCACCUCGGAGACGACGCUGCGCCGCCUGCGCUACACGCUGUCCCCGCUGCUGGAGCUGCGCGCUAACGGGCUGCUGCCAACCUAAGUGCAGCGCCCCGCGCCUGGCUCCAGGUGGACUCCAGGGCACCGGCUUUAUUUCUGGUGCACUCCUCUCCUGAGAGUGUAGACCAAGGUCGCCUAAUAAACUCCUCAAGGGAUGAA
ensembl:lncRNA TMEM191A transmembrane protein 191A (pseudogene)